UACGGAGGGGACUAGCGUUGUUCGGAAUUACUGGGCGUAAAGCGCACGUAGGCGGAUUUGUAAGUCAGGGGUGAAAUCCCGGGGCUCAACCUCGGAACUGCCUUUGAUACUGCAAAUCUCGAGUCCGGAAGAGGUGAGUGGAAUUCCUAGUGUAGAGGUGAAAUUCGUAGAUAUUAGGAAGAACACCAGUGGCGAAGGCGGCUCACUGGUCCGGUACUGACGCUGAGGUGCGAAAGCGUGGGGAGCAAACAGGGAUUAAGAAACCC
rnacentral:rRNA from 1 species